rnacentral:ncRNA from 1 species
ACAGCCCAAACCAGGAAGCUUGCUUCCUGGGGUUGUAGGACUGAACAUUUGAGUUACCAAAGCAAUGAAUAGUCGAACGGUUUGGGAAGACCGGCCAUAGCGGGUGAUAGCCCCGUAGACGAAAUUCAUUGCUCUCAGUUCAGGAUCCUGAGUACGGCCAGACACGUGAAACCUGGUCGGAAUCCGGGAGGACCAUCUCCCAAGGCUAAAUACUCCCUAGUGACCGAUAGUGAACCAGUACCGUGAGGGA